UUUGUUUGUUACAUACCAAAAAUCUCUUUUUCUAAAUUCAAAAAACUCCGAUUUGAUUUUUUUUUUUGUAAAGCAAAUCCAAAAGCUUCCUUCUUUUUGAAUUGCGUUAUUACAAUCUUAGGGUUUCUAAUUUCAAAGAUUUGUUUCUCUUUUAUGAUUAUACGUUUUAAAUCAGGGUUUCAAUUUUAUUUUCAAUUGCGUUUUUACGAUCUUAGGGUUGUUAAUUUCAAAGAUUCGUUUCUCUUUUAUGAUUGUUACGUUUUAAAUCAGGGUUUCAAUUUUAUUGUUUCUGCAAAUCAAAACCCUAAUUUUUCAAGUGCAUAGUUUCGACAAAUUUGUUAUUUCGCAAAUCCAAAAGCCUUUCUUUAAAUUUCACGAUUUUGUUUUAAUAGAUUAUGGCUUUUGUUUUGGGUUCAUGUUUCUAAAGAUUUGUUUUCAGUUUUCUGGAACAGAAACCCUAAAAUCAAUGAUUUUCUUUUUAAAAGCAACGGAUUUGUUUAAAGUUUUAAGCUUUCUUCAAACCCAAAAGAAAGGGACGACACAUUACAUGAUUGUGUUCUGUCCGGUUUCUAAAUUGGGAAAAUUGUCCCGAUGUUGUUGCCUAAGUAAAGACUUGUCAAAUUGUUCUUAAGUAAAGACUUGCUGGCUGGGCAGCAUGAUAUAUCGACUUCAAUAAUCUGCAGAGACCUGUCUUUUAUAAGGCUUGUCUAAUAAUGAUGUCCCAAUAUUGAUAAAAAUUCAAAUCAAUGAUCUGCUAAAGCUCUAUAUCUUCUUGAGCUGGGAUAUCUUAAUCAAUGAUCUGCUUAAGCUCUAUAUCUUCUUGAGCUGUUUAUAGAAGAUUCAAUGAUCUGCUUAUUGGUGGAGGGAUAAGGAGAUUAAUGUUCUUUAACAAGGAUUGUCUAGUAAUGACAAACUCAAUGAUCUGCUUAAGCUCUAUAUCUUUGUUGAGCUGGGAUAUCUUAAUCAAUGAUCUGUGUAAGCUCUAUAUCUUUGUUGAGCUGGGAUAUCUUAAUCAGUGAUCUGUGUAAGCUCUUUAUCUUUGUUGAGCUGGGAUAUCUUCUUAAUCAAUGAUCUGCGUAAGCUCUAUAUCUUUGUUGAGCUGGGAUAUCUUAAUCAAUGAUCUGCUUAAGCUCUAUAUCUUUGUUGAGCUGCGAUAUCGUAGUCAAUGAUCUGCUUAUAGACGAGGGAUAAGGAGAUUAAUGUUCUUUAAUAAGGCUUGUUUAAGGAUGUACGAUUGCAAAAUUCAACUGUCUGCAUAAACUAUGGUUCUUGCUGGACUGGAACAGCAUGAUAAAACUAUUCAAUCUUCUGCAUGAUGAUGGGAAUAAAUAUGCCUUUUAAAUGGUAUCCCAAGAUUGGAAAAUUCAAGUUCAUACUGGGCGGGGACAGUGUGGUUAAUAAGUACAGAGAUGUCUCAAAUCUCUGCAUAGAUCUGCGUUGACAGGAGGUAAGUGUUCUUAUUGAGGCUAGUCUAAUAACGAUGGCCUGAGAUUAAAAAAUUCAAUACUCUGCUUCAAAUACUCAAGAAUCUGUUGAUAGGAGGUAAGUCUUCUUUAUUGAGGCCAGUUGAUUAACGAUGGCCUGAGAUUGAAAACUUCAGUUCUCUGCUUCAAAUACUCAAGAAUCUGCAUAUUCAUAGGAGGUAAUGUUCUUUAUUGAGGCUUGUCUAAUAACGAUGGCCUGAGAUUGAAAACUUCAAUACUUUGCUUCAAAUACUCAAGAAUCUGCAUAUUCAUAGGAGGUAAUGUUCUUUAUUGAGGCUUGUCUAAUAACGAUGGCCUGAGAUUGAUAAAUUCAAUACUCUGCUGUAAAUACACAAGAAUCUGCAUAUUUAUAGGAGGUAAGUGUUCUUUAUUAAGGCUUGUCUAAUGAAGUCUGAUUGGGAAAUUCAAUAUUCUGCUUAGAUCUGCCAUUCAAAAGGCUUGUUGAAAUAUGUCUCGAAUUUCAAGAAAUUCAAGUUGGGACUUCAUAAAUAACGUGUUUUCUCCUUUGUGCCUAGCUCUUGUAGCUCAUCUGUUCAGCGAAGGCACAUCAUUGUGCAACGCUUGAUGGAUUCGAGGCUCGAACAAAUCACUUAAGAGAGAGAGAAGAACGUACAGAAUGUUCAAAUAUCUGCUUAGUACAAGAAUAUGACGUCUUGGUAAAAAGGGAUAUUGCAAAAAUUCCAAUUUGUAGAUUAUAUCUUUGCCGCUUCUCAUCAGCAAUUUUUGUCUCUUGAAAAGAAAGCUCUGGUUUUUCAGGUAUGUCCUCUUUCUAUUGCUUCUCAAAUUUCAAUUAUAUUAGUUAUUGGCUUUGUUUAUUUUUUGUUGUAGCAAGCAUGAAUUCGUUUAAGGUCCGUGUCAGAGACCAAAUGAUUGUUCUUUCAUUGUAAUGAUUUGCUAGUUUUUCUAAAAGAAAUCCAUGUGAUUCAUAGAUUGUUCACGAAGUUCAGAUACUGAGCGGUGAGUGUUCAACAUCAUAUAGCUUCUUUUUGGGCUGAUAUCAAUCUCAUUGUUCUUAUACUCAUUAGUGUUAAUAUCAAACGUAUAAGACUUACAAAGCACCGCUAAGGUAUUCCUCUGAAACUAUCUUCACCCAUGUAAUUGGAAAUUUUGUAUGUUUUACUUUAUCUCCAUAAAACGUAGGGAGGAUGGUUGACUUUGGUCUAUAUGAAUUCUGAAUCUUAUUUCUUCUCUUGCAGGUUUUAUUCAUGUGAAGACUAGUAUAAAAAUUGAUCAUAAAACCUGAUAUGUUUCUCAAAUCAGGACAUCUUUGGUACAUGUUCUUUUUCUCUGUUUUCAAUAUCUUACUGUUAGUGCUUGCGUUUUAACUUUUGUAGAAUUAGUCCAAUUCUUAAACCAAAAUUCUCUCCC